UGGGGAAUCUUGGGCAAUGGGCGAAAGCCUGACCCAGCGAUGCCGCGUGAGUGAAGAAGGCCUUAGGGUUGUAAAGCUCUUUUAGUAGGGAAGAUAAUGACGGUACCUACAGAAAAAGCCCCGGCAAACUCCGUGCCAGCAGCCGCGGUAAGACGGAGGGGGCUAGCGUUGUUCGGAAUUACUGGGCGUAAAGGGCGCGUAGGCGGUAUAAUAAGUCAGAAGUGAAAGCCCUAGGCUCAACCUAGGAACUGCUUUUGAAACUGUUAAACUAGAGUACUGGAGGGGGUAAUGGAAUUCCUAGUGUAGAAGUGAAAUUCUUAGAUAUUAGGAGGAACGCCGGAGGCGAAGGCGAUUACCUGGACAGAUACUGACGCUGAGGCGCGAAAGCGUGGGGAGCAAACAGG
rnacentral:rRNA from 1 species